rnacentral:tRNA from 1 species
ACCUGGCUGGCUCAGUCAGUAGAGCAUCUGACUCUGGAUCUGAGGGUUGUGAGUUCAAGCCCCAUGUUGGGCA